rnacentral:tmRNA from 1 species
GGGGGCGUACCGGCUUCGACGUGAGCGGUCAGCGUCUCGUGAGACGAGCCGAGUUUGCUGGAGACUCGUUAAACGCCGGCAGCUAAACAUACACGCCAACGACAACGUUGAGCUGGCUGCAGCUUAAAUAGCUUAGCCCAUCGGUCCGGGUGGCCCACGACCCGGAUACCGGUGUCAUCUGAGUGGGCUUACCCUCUGGGUCUUGGCCCAAGGCCUUUGGGGGACAAUAAAAGGGCUAGCCUCCUUGCGGCGCCCCGGUCCGCAAGGUAGGGCGAAACUAAACCGGGAGCGACGCUCGUAGAAUCUCGCGGAUGGCGCGCUCGCGGACGCGGGUUCGAUUCCCGCCGCCUCCACUA